rnacentral:rRNA from 1 species
CGGAGGUGCAAGCGUUAUCCGGAUUCACUGGGUUUAAAGGGUGCGUAGGAGGGCAGGUAAGUCAGUGGUGAAAUCUUCAAGCUUAACUUGGAAACUGCCGUUGAUACUAUCUGUCUUGAAUACCGUGGAGAUGAGCGGAAUAUGUCAUGUAGCGGUGAAAUGCUUAGAUAUGACAUAGAACACCAAUUGCGAAGGCAGCUCAUUACACGAAUAUUGACUCUGAGGCACGAAAGCGUGGGAUCAAACAGGAUU